rnacentral:rRNA from 1 species
ACGGGAGGCAGCAGUGAGGAAUAUUGGUCAAUGGACGGAAGUCUGAACCAGCCAAGUCGCGUGCGGGAGGAAGGCCCUACGGGUCGUAAACCGCUUUUGUACGGGGAUAAAGUCACCCACGUGUGGGUGUUUGUAGGUACCGUAAGAAUAAGGAUCGGCUAACUCCGUGCCAGCAGCCGCGGUAAUACGGAGGAUCCGAGCGUUAUCCGGAUUUAUUGGGUUUAAAGGGAGCGUAGGCGGAUUAUCAAGUCAGUGGUAAAAUCGUGUGGCCCAACCAUACCUCGCCAUUGAAACUGUUAGUCUUGAGUGCACGCAGGGAUGCUGGAAUUCGUUGUGUAGCGGUGAAAUGCUUAGAUAUGACGAAGAACUCCGAUCGCGAAGGCAGGUGUCUGGAGUGCAACUGACGCUGAGGCUCGAAAGUGCGGGUAUCAAACAGGAUUAGAUACCCUGGUA